AUUGAACGCUGGCGGCAUGCCUUACACAUGCAAGUCGAACGGCAGCACGGACUUCGGUCUGGUGGCGAGUGGCGAACGGGUGAGUAAUACAUCGGAACGUGCCCAGUAGUGGGGGAUAGCCCGGCGAAAGCCGGAUUAAUACCGCAUACGACCUACGGGUGAAAGCGGGGGAUCGCAAGACCUCGCGCUAUCGGAGCAGC
rnacentral:rRNA from 1 species